UGGAAAUAGAAACAGCACUAAAACUGGCAGCUCACAAAGCGUGAAGCCUGAGUCAGGCCUCAGCUCUUGCUGCAUUAUCUAACAAAUCGUGUGUCCUGCUCUGGAAGAAGUGGAUCCUUUCCUGAGAUGUAAACACAGCUUCCGAUAAUGCCAACCUUACAAGGUCAGUCUGCUCUCAGAAGUCCACGGGUCAGCCACAGAGCUCAGAUACACAUUUCCUCAUCAAGGUUUCUUGGAGUAAGAUGAAGAUACAAACUGAUGUUUCUGAUGGAAACCAUGGAAUAAAAACCAUGCUGUUUGCGAGGAUAUCUUCAGACACCUUGUCAAGCUGAAGUCAUAGCAGAGUGGUAUCUGGCCCUCCCAAAAAUCUCAGCCACCCUUUGAGAAGGGAAGAAGAACAUGUUUCCUUCCCCUUCCACCAUGAU